rnacentral:rRNA from 1 species
GACAAGCGGAUCGAAUCAAGAUUUGUUCGGUAUGAUGGGGUUAGAGGGUUUAGAGUGUGCGGAAAACCAGGCUUAUUUUAUAGAGGUGGAAUUUGAAUAAAAGAAGUUGGUUUAUUUGUUUUCUUGUUUUGACGCCCCAAAAGUUCGGUAGAAGACCGGGAUUAGAUACCCCGUUAUUUGUCCUGUAAACUUUAAUUAGUGUUGGUAAAUUUACUCGGGUAUUACGAGCUGCUUGAGUGAGUGGUUAUGCUCAGCGGAACGCUUAAAACUCAAAAAACUUGGCGGUGCCUUAAUUCCUUCCAGGGGAACCUGUCCUGUAAUCGAUGGUCCACGGUUUAACCUACCUUUUCUUGUAUUUAACUUGCUACAGGUAAGUAACAGCUUGUAUACCGUCGUCGUCAGAUUACCUUUGAGAGUGGUAGAAAGUUGUCGGUAGAAAUGGGCACAUAAUUUAAUGUGUGUGCAUGUUCUUAGUAAUAUGUUUAGGUCACAGUAUAAGUGAUGUGUAUAUUUUCGAUGUCAGAUCAAGGUGCAGCUUAUGAAAAGGGAGAGAUGGGUUACAAUAAAUAUUUAAUAUACGGAUUUUGUUCUGUAAUGAUCAAUUGAAGGUGGACUUGGGAGUAAUACAGUAAAUAAUUUUGGAAAAUAGUGAGUUAGUGUGAAUUAGGUACUAAGGUGUGU